rnacentral:rRNA from 1 species
ACCGCCCGUCACACCAUGGGAGUUGAUUGCACCAGAAGUAGGUAGCCGUAACCGCAAGGAGGGCGCUUACCACGGUGUGGUCGAAAUGACUGGGGUG